rnacentral:miRNA from 1 species
CAGCAGACACAUUCCAGCCAAUCAGCAGCAGACCCUCCCUCCCACCUCCUGGACAGCAUCCAUUGUGAAGCUGCAUUCUUAGUGAGCUGUCCAGGAGGUGGGAGGGUCUGGGAGGGAGGGUCUGCUGCUGAUUGGCUGGAAUGUGUCUGCUG